CCUACGUGUGGCUGCAGUGGGGAAUAUUGGACAAUGGGCGAAAGCCUGAUCCAGCCAUGCCGCGUGUGUGAAGAAGGCCUUCGGGUUGUAAAGCACUUUCAGUGGGGAAGAAAGCCUUGGGGCUAAUACCCUCGAGGAAGGACAUCACCCACAGAAGAAGCACCGGCUAACUCCGUGCCAGCAGCCGCGGUAAUACGGAGGGUGCGAGCGUUAAUCGGAAUUACUGGGCGUAAAGCGCGCGUAGGCGGUCUGAUAAGCCGGUUGUGAAAGCCCCGGGCUCAACCUGGGAACGGCAUCCGGAACUGUCAGGCUAGAGUGCAGGAGAGGAAGGUAGAAUUCCCGGUGUAGCGGUGAAAUGCGUAGAGAUCGGGAGGAAUACCAGUGGCGAAGGCGGCCUUCUGGACUGACACUGACGCUGAGGUGCGAAAGCGUGGGUAGCAAACAGGAUUAGAUACCCUGUAGUC
rnacentral:rRNA from 1 species